UGUAUUCUCUCAGGAAGGGCCUUUUGAUGGGAUCUUAGGAUUUUCACAGGGAGCAGCGAUGGCUGCUUCAGUUUGUGCGCUAGAAGGGAGACUAAAGGGUGAAAUCAAUUUCAGAUUCGCAGUCUUGUGCUCUGGAUUUGCUAUUCAACAUGCAGAGAUCAAGCGAGGAUCAAUUAACUGCCCCUCACUUCAUAUAUUUGGCCGUGAUCUGGGCAAGGACAGGCAGAUUGCAAACCAAGCCAGCAGAGACCUGGUUUCCUUGUUUGAAGAGGAUUCAUCAGUUAUUAUUGAGCAUGACUGUGGUCACAUCAUUCCUACUCGACAUCCUUAUAUUGAUCAGAUUAGAGGCUUUCUAGAACGUUUUCUUUGAAAUGAUUGAUUUAAAAAAAUAAUAAAAAAAAACAAACAUUUUGC
rnacentral:misc_RNA from 1 species